AUUUAACCCACACCCAUAAACGCCAGGGUAUUACGAGCCUAGCUUAAAACCCAAAGGACUUGACGGUGACCCACUCCAACUAGAGGAGCCUGUUCUACAAUCGAUAAUCCCCGAUAUACCAAACCAUUUUUUGCCAAUUUCAGCCUGUAUACCUCCGUCGCAAGCUUACCGCAUGAACGUAUCUUAGUAGGCCAAAGGACCAAUCCGCCACAACGUCAGGUCAAGGUGCAGCUAAUAAAGUGGAAGCAAUGGGCUACAAUUUCUAAACUAGAACAAACGAAACACUACAUGAAAUAUAGUCAUGAAGGAGGAUUUAGAAGUAAGUAGGAAAUAGAGAGUCCUACUAAACAUUGGCCCUGGGACGCGUACAAACCGCCCGUCACCCUCUUCGACAGUCUUAAUAUAGUUUAUAACACAUCAACACACCUUAGAAGAGGCAAGUCGUAACAUGGUAAGUAUACUGGAAAGUAUCCUUGGAGAUAA
rnacentral:rRNA from 1 species